CCUACGGGAGGCAGCAGUGAGGAAUAUUGGUCAAUGGGCGCGAGCCUGAACCAGCCAAGCCGCGUGAAGGAUGACUGCCCUACGGGUUGUAAACUUCUUUUAUAAAGGAAUAAAGUGAGGCACGCGUGCCUUUUUGUGUGUACUUUAUGAAUAAGGAUCGGCUAACUCUGUGCCAGCAGCCGCGGUAAUACGGAGGAUCCGAGCGUUAUCCGGAUUUAUUGGGUUUAAAGGGAGCGUAGAUGGGUUGUUAAGUCAGUUGUGAAAGUUUGCGGCUCAACCGUAGAAUUGCAAUUGAUACUGGCAGUCUUGAGUACAGUUGAGGUAGGCGGAAUUCGUGGUGUAGCGGUGAAAUGCUUAGAUAUCACGAAGAACUCCGAUUGCGAAGGCAGCUUACUAAACUGCCACUGACAUUGAGGCUCGAAAGUGUGGGGAUCAAACAGGAUUAGAUACCCCGGUAGUC
rnacentral:rRNA from 1 species